rnacentral:tRNA from 1 species
GUGUGCAUGAUCCUGCCUGGUGGUGGGUGCAGGCUUCAAACCUGUGGACGGUUAGCGCCGUAGUUGUUCGAUUCAACCUUGCGCAC